UACGUAGGUGGCAAGCGUUGUCCGGAUUUAUUGGGUUUAAAGGGUGCGUAGGCGGCCUAUUAAGUCAGUGCUGAAAUAUCCCGGCUUAACCGGGAGGGUGGCAUUGAUACUGAUGGGCUAGAGUACAGAUGAGGUAGGCGGAAUUGACGGUGUAGCGGUGAAAUGCUUAGAUAUCGUCAAGAACACCUAUAGCGAAGGCAGCUUACUAGGCUGUAACUGACGCUGAGGCACGAAAGUGUGGGGAUCAAACAGG
rnacentral:ncRNA from 2 species